GUGCUCACUUCAGCAGCACAUAUACUAAAACUAGAAUGACACAGAGAUUAGUAUGGCCCCUGCACCAGGAUGAAAUGCAAACUGGUGAAGUGAAGCCUCUCAUAUUUUU